rnacentral:tRNA from 1 species
AGUGGGGUGCGUAAGAGUACUGCAACUCGCUGGGGCUCAUAACCCGAAGGUCCUCAGUUCGAAUCUGAGCCCCGCUA